GCAGGACGGGCUCCGCCCUCAGGACCUCGCGGAGCAGCAGGGACAAGGGGACUGCGCGCGCGUCCUGCUGGGGCUGCGCUCGCCCGGCUGCCCGGCGACGGCGACCACGGGAAUCCCCGGUGAGUGCAGAUGCGGGGUCUCGCUGCGCCCGAUACCUGUGCUCCGGGCUGUGGCUCUGGGACUGACUCGGUCCGGUCGGUCUGUUCUUUUCUUCCUUCUUCCUUCCUUCCUUUCUACUGGGGAUGAAACCCAGCUCCUUCUCACUGAGCUGCAUCCCCAACCCCUUUUUAUGGUUUAUUUUGAGACAGGGUCUUGCUAAUUAGCUAAAUUGCCCAGGCAGGACUUGAAUUUCCAACCCUCCUGCCUCAGCCUCCUGAGCGCUGAGAUUAGAGACCUGUACCACGAAGCCUCUGGGAGGGCCUUGGCACCCCAUCAGCUGCCAUUUCUGACUGUGCCUUGUCCCAUCCCCUUUCUGCCUCUCUCCUUGCAACACCAGUCAGUGUCUGACCUGGCUCCGCAUCUGCCUCCCCUCCAUUCCUCUCUGACCUCCUCUCCAGGAGACAUCCUGGGGUCCCCCCGUGUGACUCUGGACUCCGGCCCCCCGCAAGCCCAGCCUGACUGUGGGGACAUGGGCCUGGCCACCAGCCGGGGGGCCACCAGCCCCACUGACCCCCUGGAGGUUGCCGACGAAGAUGGGGACUCGGGCAGCAGCUCCAAUGAGGCCUCCUUCGUCACCGCAGAGGAAGUUUCCAGAGCAGAGGACAUGGCCCUGGAGAGAAACUCUGUCUGGGCCAGAUCAUUGCCCCGGGCAGAGCAGGGAUGCAUGCAGGCAGCCCCGGGGCCCACAGGUGGCCAAGGGCCAUCUGGCCAGGAGGCUGAGCUCAGCGCUCGGCUGUGGGCCAUGACUCUGUCUGGGUCUCGGGCCACCUUCUUCCCACCCCUCCUGGAUGCCCACAGCUGCCCCCAGGAGCCAGGCUUCUGCUCCCUGGCAGAUGAGCAGCUGUCCUGUGGGGGAGACGUGGCUGCCCUCUGGCUGACAGAGGACGAGGCCAGUGCUGCAGAAGACAGGGACUGUGUCCCCACCUGCCAGCUUCCGCCAGCCCCUGCCAUGCCUGGCCAACAGCUGCUGCACAGGUUCUCAGCACCAGGCGACUAUCACUGCCCAGCUGCUCCUUUCCCCUGGCCAGAAGAAGCCCGGGCUGUGCUUGACCCAGACUUUUCAAAGUACAGCCCAGAACUGGCCAAGGCCCUGCGGACAGGCUGCAUCCCUGAUUGCCAGGCGGACGAGAACGCGCUGGCCCAGCAGUUCGAGCAGCCGAAUCCCUCAAAGAGGUGGCGGGAGGGUGUGGUGAAGUCCAGCUUCACGUAUCUGCUGCUGGACCCCAGGGAGACUCAGGACCUGCCAGCCCGAGCCUUGUCACUGAGUCCAGCCCAGCGUCUUCAGACAUUCGUCCGUGCCAUCUUCUAUGUGGGCAAGGGGACACGCUCCCGGCCCGACGUCCACCUCUGGGAGGCUCUUGGCUACCGUGGGCGGCCAGGGAGACAGGCCUGCCCCAAGGUGCGCCGGAUCCUGGACAUCUGGGACAGUGGCCGCGGCGUGGUCUCCCUGCACUGCUUCCAGCAUGUGGUGGGUGUGGAGGCUUACACACGGGAGGCCUGCCUCGUGGAUGCCCUAGGAGUCCAGACGCUGACCAACCAGAAACAGGGGCACUACUACGGCCUGGCAGUGAGCUGGCCCGCGGCUCCGCGGCGGCGCUUGGGGGUGCACCUGCUGCACCGUGCCCUGCUCAUCUUCCUGGCUGAGGGCCAGCGGGAGCUGCGGCCUGAGCACAUUCAGGCGCCAGGCUGA
rnacentral:lncRNA from 1 species